AGUGAACGCUGGCGGUAGGCCUAACACAUGCAAGUCGAACGGCAGCACAGUAAGAGCUUGCUCUUACGGGUGGCGAGUGGCGGACGGGUGAGGAAUACAUCGGAAUCUACUUUUUCGUGGGGGAUAACGUAGGGAAACUUACGCUAAUACCGCAUACGACCUACGGGUGAAAGCAGGGGAUCUUCGGACCUUGCGCGAUUGAAUGAGCCGAUGUCGGAUUAGCUAGUUGGCGGGGUAAAGGCCCACCAAGGCGACGAUCCGUAGCUGGUCUGAGAGGAUGAUCGGCAACACUGAACCUGAGACAGGGUCAGAACUCCAACGGGAGGCAGCGGUGGGAAAUAUUGGACAAUGGCGCAAGCCUGAUCCAGCCAUACCGCGUGGGUGAAGAAGGCCUUCGGGUUGUAAAGCCCUUUUGUUGGGAAAGAAAAGCAGCAGGUUAAUACCCCGCUGUUCUGACGGUACCCAAAGAAUAAGCACCGGCUAACUUCGUG
rnacentral:rRNA from 1 species